AACGAACGCUGGCGGCAGGCUUAACACAUGCAAGUCGAACGCCCCGCAAGGGGAGUGGCGCACGGGUGAGUAACGCGUGGGAAUAUGCCCUUCGGUUCGGAAUAACACAGGGAAACUUGUGCUAAUACCGGAUACGAUCUACGGAUGAAAGAUUUAUCGCCGAGGGAGUAGCCCGCGUAGGAUUAGCUAGUUGGUGAGGUAAUGGCUCACCAAGGCGACGAUCCUUAGCUGGUCUGAGAGGAUGAUCAGCCACACUGGGACUGAGACACGGCCCAGACUCCUACGGGAGGCAGCGGUGGGGAAUAUUGGACAAUGGGGGAGACCCUGAUCCAGCCAUGCCGCGUGAGUGAUGAAGGCCUUAGGGUUGUAAAGCUCUUUCGCCAGGGAAGAUAAUGACGGUACCUGGAAAAGAAGCCUCGGCUAACUCCGUGCCAGCCGCCGCCGUAAUAC
rnacentral:rRNA from 1 species